rnacentral:snRNA from 1 species
GUGCUGGUUUCGGCAACACAUAUACCAAAAUUCGAACGAUACAGGGAAGAUUAGCAUGUGCAAAGAUGACACACAGAUUCGUGAAGCAUUCCAUAAUUUA